UAACUUCUUCAACUAUACGUAGUAUUUGUAGUGUCGUAAAAUGUUUUUCCUAAAGCCACAGUGCCCGGGCGAGAUGAUAUUCACGGAUUUCAAGUGAUAAAGGAGUACUGAAAAAGCAUUAUCAAAAGGGCGUUUUCAAAUUAUUAAAAAAAGAACACAAAGUUAGUCCACACCAGCCGAGGCCUUUUCAAUAGUGUCUUCUUCGGUUCCUGCGAGUGUAGUUUGAACAAUUCAGCCUGAUACUUUGUAAACAAAGUUGCUUU